AGUCGAACGAAGGCUUCGGCCUUAGUGGCGCACGGGUGCGUAACGCGUGGGAAUCUGCCCCUUGGUUCGGAAUAACAGUUGGAAACGACUGCUAAUACCGGAUGACGACGUAAGUCCAAAGAUUUAUCGCCGAGGGAUGAGCCCGCGUAAGAUUAGCUAGUUGGUGUGGUAAAGGCGCACCAAGGCGACGAUCUUUAGCUGGUCUGAGAGGAUGAUCAGCCACACUGGGACUGAGACACGGCCCAGACUCCUACGGGAGGCAGCAGUGGGGAAUAUUGGACAAUGGGCGAAAGCCUGAUCCAGCAAUGCCGCGUGAGUGAUGAAGGCCUUAGGGUUGUAAAGCUCUUUUACCCGGGAUGAUAAUGACAGUACCGGGAGAAUAAGCUCCGGCUAACUCCGUGCCAGCAGCCGCGGUAAUACGGAGGGAGCUAGCGUUAUUCGGAAUUACUGGGCGUAAAGCGCACGUAGGCGGCUUUGUAAGUUAGAGGUGAAAGCCUGGAGCUCAACUCCAGAAUUGCCUUUAAGACUGCAUCGCUUGAAUCCAGGAGAGGUGAGUGGAAUUCCGAGUGUAGAGGUGAAAUUCGUAGAUAUUCGGAAGAACACCAGUGGCGAAGGCGGCUCACUGGACUGGUAUUGACGCUGAGGUGCGAAAGCGUGGGGAGCAAACAGAAUUAGAUACCCUGGUAGUCCACGCCGUAAACGAUGAUAACUAGCUGUCGGGGCUCUUAGAGCUUCGGUGGCGCAGCUAACGCAUUAAGUUAUCCGCCUGGGGAGUACGGCCGCAAGGUUAAAACUCAAAUGAAUUGAC
rnacentral:rRNA from 1 species